UUAAAUUUUGGCAAAAUCAGACAUCCGAGUUAACGGCCGUUAGCACUGCUAACCACAGUUAAAAUUUAACCCUAUGAUGUUUACUAUGUAUAU
rnacentral:sRNA from 1 species